GGAUUCUUGUCAUAAAAUUUUUCCCUAUAAUUUUGACUAAAAUAUAAUUUCCCUCCAGUAGGUGGCAGCAUGAGUUACCACAGCCUUUGAAUUAGGUUCUUGAUGGUCACAGCAGGAUAUGACCUGAACGUGCUGGAGAAAGGAAGUAACUGCAGAAUUAACAUCCUCAUGCAAAAUGGGAGAAAAAUUCACAACUUUAAAAAAAGAAAAAUGCUCCACAUCUAACCACACUUGUGAAAUACCUGCAGCAAGUCUCUCCAUCUGGUAAGCCAACAUCAGAGCUGAUACGCAUGAAGCAUUUAGAAUCAGAAGCACAGUUACCCCAUCACUGUCUUCCCAAUGUGUCAUGGCAUCAGAGGACAAAAGUGAAUGAAGCAGCCAUUUGAAGUUACGCUUGAAGAGAAGACAGGCCUCCUCUUGUUGACCUGUGAAUAUACUCUGUGGAAGAAAAGACUUGAAGGCAUACUACUUCCUACAUAACUCUGAGGAGUACUGCGGACUGGGCAACUGCACAUGGACUUACUGAAGAGGAAAGUCCCACUAUCUGGGUGUGGGUGGCACCAACCAAUAGGCUUGCAGCCUGGACAGAAUAAGAAGGGAAAGAAGAAGAAAGUGUCACUGCUGCUUCUUCAGAGGAGCUCCAGUCUUCGCCAUUGCUUUGGGACAUUCAUCUCUAGCCUUCCAGUGGAGACUCUCCAGCUUCCUGAUACGGACUCCGAAGUGAGCUCCAGGCCUUUGACCUUUGACAGGAUCCUUUAGAUCUCCAGCAUGUGGACAGACCCUUUAUGUUCUCACACCUGACUCUGAG
rnacentral:lncRNA from 1 species